GAGAGUUUGAUCCUGGCUCAGGAUGAACGCUAGCGGGAGGCUUAACACAUGCAAGUCGAGGGGCAGCAUUCACUUCGGUGAGAUGGCGACCGGCGCACGGGUGCGUAACGCGUAUGCAACCUACCUUUUACAGAAGGAUAGCCCGAAGAAAUUCGGAUUAAUACUUCAUAGCAUUGUUUGAAUGCAUAUUCGAACAAUUAAAGAUUUAUCGGUAAAAGAUGGGCAUGCGUGACAUUAGGUAGUUGGUAAGGUAACGGCUUACCAAGCCAUUGAUGUCUAGGGGUCCUGAGAGGGUGAUCCCCCACACUGGUACUGAGACACGGACCAGACUCCUACGGGAGGCAGCAGUGAGGAAUAUUGGUCAAUGGACGCAAGUCUGAACCAGCCAUCCCGCGUGAAGGAAGACGGCCUUAUGGGUUGUAAACUUCUUUUAUGUACCAAGAAAGAUAAGUACGUGUAUUUAUUUGACGGGUAGUAUAUGAAUAAGCAUCGGCUAACUCCGUGCCAGCAGCCGCGGUAAUACGGAGGAUGCGAGCGUUAUCCGGAUUUAUUGGGUUUAAAGGGUGUGUAGGCGGAUUUUUAAGUCAGUGGUGAAAUCUCUCGGCUCAACCGAGAAACUGCCAUUGAUACUGGAAGUCUUGAGUUUAGAUGAAGUAGGCGGAAUAUGUCAUGUAGCGGUGAAAUGCAUAGAUAUGACAUAGAACACCGAUAGCGAAGGCAGCUUACUAAUCUAUAACUGACGCUGAUGCACGAAAGCGUGGGUAGCGAACAGGAUUAGAUACCCUGGUAGUCCACGCCGUAAACGAUGUUCACUCGUUGUUGGCAAUACACCGUCAGCGACUAAGCGAAAGUGAUAAGUGAACCACCUGGGGAGUACGAUCGCAAGGUUGAAACUCAAAGGAAUUGACGGGGGCCCGCACAAGCGGAGGAGCAUGUGGUUUAAUUCGAUGAUACGCGAGGAACCUUACCUGGGCUUAAAUGUAUAUUGACAGUCAAAGAGAUUUGAUUUUCUUCGGACAAUUUACAAGGUGCUGCAUGGUUGUCGUCAGCUCGUGCCGUGAGGUGUCGGGUUAAGUCCCAUAACGAGCGCAACCCCUACCGUUAGUUGCCAUCAGGUCAAGCUGGGGACUCUAGCGGAACUGCCUGCGCAAGCAGAGAGGAAGGUGGGGAUGACGUCAAAUCAGCACGGCCCUUAUGUCCAGGGCUACACACGUGCUACAAUGGUCGGUACAGAGGGCAGCUACCUAGCAAUAGGAUGCAAAUCUCAAAAGCCGAUCUCAGUUCGGAUCGGAGUCUGCAACUCGACUCCGUGAAGUUGGAUUCGCUAGUAAUCGUAUAUCAGCAAUGAUACGGUGAAUACGUUCCCGGGCCUUGUACACACCGCCCGUCAAGCCAUGGAAGCCGAGGGUACCUGAAGUUCGUGACCGUAAGGAGCGACCUAGGGUAAAAUUGGUAACUGGGGCUAAGUCGUAACAAGGUAGCCGUCGUAG
rnacentral:rRNA from 1 species